UGAGAUCCCAAAUAAUGAAGACUUUGAAGAAGAGAUGACUGGUAAUAUUGCUAAUGAAUUGCAUGUUCCGCAUGAUGGAGAGAAGAUGGAAUUGCAAGAUGAUGAUGAAGAACCACCUCUAAUUUUUGAGAUCAAUAUGCUUUCAACUCCAGUAGAUAAACCAAAAAUUACUCUUGAUUAAAUAGCUCCAAGCUUAAGAUACACAUUAAACUCUCAAGGAACUAUUGGUUUUGAUGAUGAUAUCUUGAAAUGUCUAUGUUCGACCAAUAGUAUGGAUGAUGGAUUAAAUUCUAUGCCUUGCACCUAUGUUUAUCAUGUUGAUAGACUAGAGUUUCUUGAGAAUGAAAACGAGGC
rnacentral:lncRNA from 1 species